rnacentral:ncRNA from 1 species
UGACCUCAGCUCAGUCGUGAGCACCCGCUGAAUUUAAGCAUAUAACUAAGCGGAGGAAAAGAAACUAACGAGGAUUCCUCUAGUAACGGCGAGUGAAUGGGGAAAAGCCCAGCGCUGAAUCCAUUGGCCACUGGUCGCUUGGAAUUGUAGCGUAUAGGUGCGGUUGUCCGUUUGUUUCGCGCACCCAAAGUCCCCUUGAGUGGGGCUAUAGUCCAAAGAAGGUGCUAGACCUGUACGGGUGGCGAGACGAUCGGUUGAUUGCUCCUUGGAGUCGGGUUGCCUGCUGCUGCCCGGUGUUAAAGGCGCACGCAUCGGCAAAUGAGGCAGGCGUAAGCGUUGUGUUGUUCGGAAGUGAGCGGUUGAAGCGCGUAAAGCGUUGACAUGAGAGAAGUGGCGGUGAAGAGUCAGCAGUAAGAAUACGGGUGCAUGUAAAGAGACGAUGAGACCACCCUCUGUAAGAUCGUCGAUUGUUGGCGGUGUUCAGCGUUCGAUCAGCGUCGUUGAUCGACAAAAAGUGGUUUUAUUGAGGUGCGACAGUU